rnacentral:rRNA from 1 species
AACGUAGGUACCGAGCGUUAUCCGGAUUUACUGGGCGUAAAGCGCGUUCAGGCGGCUUGACAAGUCGGGCAUGAAAUCUCUCGGCUCAACUGGGAGGGGCUGUCCGAUACUGUCGGGCUUGAGGGCAGUAGAGGGUGGUGGAAUUCCGGGUGUAGUGGUGAAAUGCGUAGAUAUCCGGAGGAACACCAGUGGCGAAAGCGGCCACCUGGACUGUACCUGACGCUCAAACGCGAAAGCUAGGGGAGCGAACGGG